rnacentral:misc_RNA from 1 species
UACGGAGGGUGCAAGCGUUAUCCGGAUUCACUGGGUUUAAAGGGUGCGUAGGCGGAUUGGUAAGUCAGUGGUGAAAGCUCUCAGCUUAACUGAGAAAUUGCCGUUGAUACUGCUGAUCUUGAAUAUAGACGAAGUGGGCGGAAUGUGGCGUGUAGCGGUGAAAUGCUUAGAUAUGCCACAGAACACCAAUUGCGAAGGCAGCUCGCUAGACUAUUAUUGACGCUGAGGCACGAAAGCGUGGGGAUCAAACAGG